rnacentral:rRNA from 1 species
GACGAACGCUGGCGGCGUGCCUAACACAUGCAAGUCGAGCGGGGUGCAGCAAUGCACCCAGCGGCGAACGGGUGAGUAACGCGUGGAUAACCUACCCCUAUGCCUGGGAUAACACUUCGAAAGAGGUGCUAAUACCGGAUAAUCCAUAGCCGACAGAAGUCAGAUAUGGCAAAGGCGGUGUAAGCCGUCACAGAGGGAAGGGUCCGCGUCCCAUUAGCUAGUUGGUGAGGUAAGAGCUCACCAAGGCGACGAUGGGUAGCCGGCCUGAGAGGGUGACCGGCCACACUGGGACUGAGACACGGCCCAGACUCCUACGGGAGGCAGCAGUGGGGAAUCUUCCGCAAUGGCGAAAGUCUGACGGAGCAAACGCCGCGUGAGUGAAGAAGGUUUUCGGAUCGUAAAGCUCUGUCUUAAGGGAAGAACGGGUCAGGGUAGGAAAUGCCUUGGGCAAUGACGGUACCUUAAGAGGAAGCCCCGGCUAACUACGUGUCCAGCAGCCGACGGUAAACAUACUACG